GACGAACGCUGGCGGCGUGCUUAACACAUGCCAGUCGUGCGGUAAGGCCCUUUCGGGGGUACACGAGCGGCGAACGGGUGAGUAACACGUGAGCAACCUGCCCUUCACUUUGGGAUAACUGCCGGAAACGGUGGCUAAUACCGGAAAUGACUUCCUCACGCAUGUGGGGUGGUGGAAAGCCUUCGGGUGGUUGGGGAUGGGCUCGCGGUCUAUCAGCUUGUUGGUGGGGUGAUGGCCUACCAAGGCUUCGACGGGUAGCCGGACUGGGAGGGUGACCGGCCACACUGGGACUGGGGCACGGGCCAGACUGCUACGGGAGGCAGCAGUGGGGAAUAUAGGGCGAUGGGCGGAAGCCGGAUACAGGAACGCCGCGUGGGGGAUGACGGCCUUCGGGUUGUAAACCUCUUUCGCCUGAGAAGAAGCGAGAGUGACGGUAGCAGGUAAAGAAGCACCGGCCAACUACGUG
rnacentral:rRNA from 1 species